GACGAACGCUGGCGGCGUGCUUAACACAUGCAAGUCGAGCGGUAAGGCUCCUUCGGGAGUACACGAGCGGCGAACGGGUGAGUAACACGUAAGCAAUCUGCCCUUCACACUGGGUUAACCCCCGGAAACGGGAGCUAAUACCAGAUACGACCACUUCGGGCAUCCGAUGGUGGUGGAAAGUUCCGGCGGUGAAGGAUGAGCUCGCGGCCUAUCAGCUUGUUGGUGAGGUAAUGGCUCACCAAGGCUUCGACGGGUAGCCGGCCUGAGAGGGUAGCCGGCCACACGGGGACUGGGACACGGCCCAGCGUCCUACGGGAGGCAGCAGGGGGGAAUAUUGGACAAUGGGCGAAAGCCUGAUCCAGCAACGCCGCGUGAGGGAUGCCGGCCUUCGGGUUGUAAACCUCUUUCAGCAGGGACGAAGCGAAAGUGACGGUACCUGCAGAAGAAGGACCGGCCAACUACGUGCCAGCCGCCGCCGUAACAC
rnacentral:rRNA from 1 species